rnacentral:rRNA from 1 species
UACGUAGGGUGCAAGCGUUACUCGGAAUUACUGGGCGUAAAGCGUGCGCAGGCGGUGAUGUAAGACAGAUGUGAAAUCCCCGGGCUCAACUUGGGAACUGCAUUUGUGACUGCAUCGCUGGAGUGCGGCAGAGGGGGAUGGAAUUCCGCGUGUAGCAGUGAAAUGCGUAGAUAUGCGGAGGAACACCGAUGGCGAAGGCAAUCCCCUGGGCCUGCACUGACGCUCAUGCACGAAAGCGUGGGGAGCAAACAGG